AGCAGCCGCGGUAAUUCCAGCUCCAAUAGCGUAUAUUAAAGUUGUUGCAGUUAAAAAGCUCGUAGUUGAAUUUCGGGGUUAGUAGGUUGGUCAUGCCUCUGGUAUGUACUGGUCUCACUGAUUCCUCCUUCCUGAUGAGCCGUAAUGCCAUUAAUUUGGUGUUGCGGGGAAUUUGGACUGUUACUUUGAAAAAAUUGAGUGUUUAAAGCAAGCUAACGCUUGAAUACAUUAGCAUGGAAUAAUGAAAUAGGACGUUCGAUCCUAUUUCGUUGGUUUCUAGGAUUGACGUAAUGAUUAAUAGGGAUAGUUGGGGGCAUUAGUAUUCAAUUGUCAGAGGUGAAAUUCUUGGAUUUAUUGAAGACUAACUACUGCGAAAGCAUUUGCCAAGGAUGUUUUCAUUAAUCAAGAACGAAAGUUAGGGGAUCGAAGACGAUCAGAUACCGUCGUAGU
rnacentral:rRNA from 1 species